GACUCUGUCUCACUGACCUGUGAGGGAAACCUCACUGAGUGGAGAGUGAGGAAGUUCUCUGAGGACGGCCGACUCUCUGACUGUAGGAGAAUGACUGGAUCCACAUGUAACAUCAAGACAUCAAAGUCAGAUACUGGAGUGUACUGGUGUGAGUCUGGAUCAGGAGAGUUCAGCAGUGCAGUCAACAUCACUGUACAGAAUGAUGGUAAUGGUCCUAUCCUGGUGAGUCCUGUUCAUCCUGUGACUGAGGGAGCUUCUGUUAGUCUGAGCUGCAGUUUGAGAACACAAAAAAUACUUUCCAAUGUGUUUUUCUAUCACAAUGACAAACUUAUUCAAAAUGAUACCCGAGGGGAGCUGAAGAUCUCUGCA